rnacentral:rRNA from 1 species
UUGAACGCUGGCGGCAUGCUUUACACAUGCAAGUCGAACGGUAACAGGGAGCUUGCUCCGCUGACGAGUGGCGAACGGGUGAGUAAUGCAUCGGAACGUGCCUAUUUGUGGGGGAUAACGUAGCGAAAGUUACGCUAAUACCGCAUACGACCUGAGGGUGAAAGCGGGGGACCGUAAGGCCUCGCGCGAUGGGAGCGGCCGAUAUCGGAUUAGCUAGUUGGUGAGGUAAAGGCUCACCAAGGCGACGAUCCGUAGCUGGUCUGAGAGGACGACCAGCCACACUGGAACUGAGACACGGUCCAGACUCCUACGGGAGGCAGCAGUGGGGAAUUUUGGACAAUGGGGGCAACCCUGAUCCAGCCAUUCCGCGUGAGUGAAGAAGGCCUUCGGGUUGUAAAGCUCUUUCGGCAGGAACGAAACGGUGGUCCUUAAUACGGGCUACUAAUGACGGUACCUGAAGAAGAAGCACCGGCUAACUACGU